UACAGAGACUGCAAGCGUUAUUCGGAUUCACUGGGCGUAAAGGGUGCGCAGGCGGCCAAGUGUGUUAGGUGUGAAAGCCCGGGGCUUACCCCGGAAUUGCACCUAAAACUACAUGGCUCGAGCAUUGGAGAGGGGAGCAGAAUUCACGGUGUAGCAGUGAAAUGCGUAGAUAUCGUGAGGAAUACCAGAGGCGAAGGCGGCUCCCUGGACAAUUGCUGACGCUCAGGCACGAAAGCGUGGGGAGCAAACAGG
rnacentral:rRNA from 1 species